rnacentral:rRNA from 1 species
CCUACGGGAGGCAGCAGUAGGGAAUCUUCCACAAUGGGCGAAAGCCUGAUGGAGCAACGCCGCGUGGGUGAAGACGGUCUUCGGAUCGUAAAACCCUGUUUUUAGAGAAGAAAGUGCGUGAGCGUAACUGUUCACGUUUCGUCGGUAUCUAACCAGAAAGCCACGGCUAACUACGUGCCAGCAGCCGCGGUAAUACGUAGGUGGCAAUCGUUAUCCGGAUUUAUUUGGGGUAAAGGGAACGCAGGCGGGCUUUUAAGUCUGAUGUGAAAGCCUUCGGCUUAACCGGAGUAGUGCAUUGGAAACUGGUAGACUUGAGUGCAGAAGAGGAGAGUGGAACGCCAUGUGUAGCGGUGAAAUGCGUAGAUAUAUGGAAGAACACCAGUGGCGAAAGCGGCUCUCUGGUCUGUAACUGACGCUGAGGUUCGAAAGCGUGGGUAGCAAACAGGAUUAGAUACCCUUGUAGUC